UGGGGAAUAUUGCACAAUCGGCGCAAGCCUGAUGCAGCCAUGCCGCGUGUGUGAAGAAGGCCUUCGGGUUGUAAAGCACUUUCAGCGGGGAGGAAGGCGAUAAGGUUAAUAACCUCAUCGAUUGACGUUACCCGCAGAAGAAGCACCGGCUAACUCCGUGCCAGCAGCCGCGGUAAUACGGAGGAUGCAAGCGUUAAUCGGAAUUACUGGGCGUAAAGCGCACGCAGGCGGACUGUCAAGUCGGAUGUGAAAUCCCUGGGCUCAACCUAGGAACUGCAUUCGAAACUGGCAGGCUAGAGUCUUGUAGAGGGGGGUAGAAUUCCAGGUGUAGCGGUGAAAUGCGUAGAGGUCUGGAGAAAUACCGGUGGCGAAGGCGGCCCCCUGGACAAAGACUGACGCUCAGGUGCGAAAGCGUGGGGAGCAAACAGG
rnacentral:rRNA from 1 species